rnacentral:rRNA from 1 species
GACGAACGCUGGCGGCGUGCCUAAUACAUGCAAGUCGAACGCAGUGGGGACGGGUGAGUAACACGUGGGUAACCCCACAUAAGAGGGGAUAACACUUGGAUACAGGUGCUAAAACCGAUACUGUAGGAUGGUCACGCGGUGCGUUAGCUAGCUGGUGAGGUAACGGCUCACCAAGGCCACGAUGCAUAGCCGGCCUGAGAGGGUGAUCAGCCACACUGUGACUGAGACACGGCCCAGACUCCUACGGGAGGCAGCAGUAGGGAAUCUUCGACAAUGGACGAAAGUCUGACCGAGUAACGCCGCGUGAGUGAAGAAGGUUUUCGGAUCGUAAAACACUGUUGUUAGAGAAGCGUUAUCUAACCAGAAAGCCACGGCUAACUACGUGCCAGCAGCCGCGGUAAUAC